rnacentral:pre_miRNA from 1 species
GUCACCUGAGGAUUUGUUAAAAUGCAGAUUCUGACUCAGAAGAUUUAGGAUUCUGCUUUUCUAACAAGCUCCCAGGUGAUGCUCA